rnacentral:tRNA from 2 species
UCCCCGGUUGGUCUGUCGGCAGGGCCCGCCUGACUUUGAAUCAGGAUCAGCGACGCAGGUUCGACUCCUGCCCGGGGAGC